rnacentral:lncRNA from 1 species
AGGUAUAAGUAUUCCUCCGAUCUGAGAUCACCAUGGUGACUUGCAAGUAACUCACUAUGCUUUGGCACCAGACUAUCUGAAUUUUUAAUUCAAGAUCGAAAAAUUUUUGGGCACAGUCAAGUACUUGUGAAGUCGGUGCAUGAGUUAAGAUAGAAUUGACCACUCUAAGAGAUUGGAGAGAAUACUUUGUAUUUCAAUUUAGUAAAAUCUUGGCC